GAUGAACGCUGGCGGCGUGCCUAAUACAUGCAAGUCGAGCGAAUGGAUUAAGAGCUUGCUCUUAUGAAGUUAGCGGCGGACGGGUGAGUAACACGUGGGUAACCUGCCCAUAAGACUGGGAUAACUCCGGGAAACCGGGGCUAAUACCGGAUAACAUUUUGAACCGCAUGGUUCGAAAUUGAAAGGCGGCUUCGGCUGUCACUUAUGGAUGGACCCGCGUCGCAUUAGCUAGUUGGUGAGGUAACGGCUCACCAAGGCAACGAUGCGUAGCCGACCUGAGAGGUUGAUCGGCCACACGGGGACUGGGACACGGCCCAGACUCCUACGGGAGGCAGCAGUAGGGAAUCUUCCGCAAUGGACGAAAGUCUGACGGAGCAACGCCGCGUGGGUGAUGAAGGCUUUCGGGUCGUAAAACUCUGUUGUUAGGGAAGAACAAGUGCUAGUUGAAUAAGCUGGCACCUUGACGGUGCCUAACCAGAAAGCCACGGCUAACUACGUGCCAGCAGCCGCCGUAA
rnacentral:rRNA from 1 species